rnacentral:rRNA from 1 species
UACGUAGGGUGCAAGCGUUGUCCGGAAUUAUUGGGCGUAAAGAGCUCGUAGGCGGUUCGUCGCGUCGGCUGUGAAAUCCCGAGGCUCAACCUCGGGUCUGCAGUCGAUACGGGCGGACUGGAGUACUGCAGGGGAGACUGGAAUUCCUGGUGUAGCGGUGAAAUGCGCAGAUAUCAGGAAGAACACCUAUGGCGAAGGCAGCUCUCUGGGACGGUACUGACGCUGAGACGCGAAAGCGUGGGGAGCGAACAGG